rnacentral:rRNA from 1 species
GUCUGCAACUCGACUACAUGAAGCUGGAAUCGCUAGUAAUCGCGGAUCAGAGUGCCGCGGUGAAUACGUUCCCGGGUCUUGUACACACCGCCCGUCACACCAUGGGAGUCAGUAACGCCCGAAGCCGGUGACCCAACCUGAUCAGGAGGGAGCCGUCGAAGGCGGGACGGAUGACUGGGGUGAAGUCGUAACAAGGUAUC